GAUGAACGCUAGCGGCAGGCUUAAUACAUGCAAGUCGAGGGGUAGCAAGAUUGUAGCAAUACAAUUGUUGACGACCGGCAAACGGGUGCGGAACACGUACACAACCUUCCUACAAGUGGGGAAUAGCCCAGAGAAAUUUGGAUUAAUACCCCGUAACAUAGCGAUGUGGCAUCACAUUGCUAUUAUAGCUUCGGCGCUUGUUGAUGGGUGUGCGGCUGAUUAGAUAGUUGGCGGGGUAACGGCCCACCAAGUCUACGAUCAGUAGCUGAUGUGAGAGGAUGAUCAGCCACACGGGCACUGAGACACGGGCCCGACUCCUACGGGAGGCAGCAGUAAGGAAGAUUGGACAAUGGACGCAAGUCUGAUCCAGCCAUGCCGCGUGAAGGAUUAAGGUCCUCUGGAUUGUAAACUUCUUUUAUAAGGGACGAAAAAAGGUCUUUCUAGAUCGUCUGACGGUACCUUAUGAAUAAGCACCGGCUAACUCCGUGCCAGCCGCCGCGGUAAAAC
rnacentral:rRNA from 1 species